UAUGAGCCUAAGAAACAAAUACAAAAAUAUGCGAGAGCGAAUGCCACCAGGAUGCCCUGAAGUCGAUGCGGAAAAAGCAAAAGUUAAUCCAAGAAAGGCAGGCGAAAGUUCUGGCACAUGCUCAAGAUACGGAUUUCGAAGACAGACUGCUGUGAAGCCAGCAUUUCAAGUAGAUGAGGUCUUCAUCUCCGAGAAACAAAUUUUAUGAAACAAUAUAUCAAGAAGGGAAACACCGAAAUGGACAAAAUAGUGGACGCCAUGAACAGGACCAAAGCUGCCAGGAGAGCAAACAUAGAAGAAGAAGGCAUGAAUCUUGCCGGUCUUCUAAACCUCUAUCCAGGUUUAAUGCUACAAAAGGAGAGGAGCAAGCAGAAACAUCACAUUUCUGCACUUCUGCAAGACUUCUGCAUACACUUCUGCAAGACUGCACUUCACUCAUUGUGACCACAAAUAAUCACAUUGUCUCAGCACUGAUGUCUGCAAACUGACAGUGCCUUGGUACUGUUAACCAUGUUUCAUAUCGUUUCCAUGAACUGGUUUCAAGCUAUGUUUUAAUUCUUACAGAUCUGGAAUAAAUUCUCUCGCCUAACAGGUGUA